rnacentral:rRNA from 1 species
UUCGGAUUGUAGUCUGCAACCCGACUACAUGAAGCUGGAAUCGCUAGUAACCGCGGAUCAGAAUGCCGCGGUGAAUACGUUCCCGGGUCUUGUACACACCGCCCGUCACACCAUGGGAGUCGGAAAUGCCCGAAGUCUGUGACCCAACCGCGAGGAGGGAGCAGCCGAAGGCAGGUCGGAUGACUGGGGUGAAGUCGUAACAAGGUAUC